CAUAUUUUGUUGCUAUUAAAGGAUGAUUGGAGAGUUGUUGCGGACUGUUUUGUGUGUUUGGGUUGGGAGCUGCCUGGUUUCUAUUAGGAAAAGAUACGUAAUCUAAAAGGGCGGAGAGUCGAGUUGGUUUGGUAUUGGAGUUUUACAACCAGGUGCUUCGGAAAACACGCCUCCUCAGUAGGAGUCUAAGAUAUCCAUCUGUCAUUGGUAAUCGCCAGUUUGCUUUGGGGCUUUCCGAGUCGGUUCUAUAUAUUUUUAGUAUUGUAUAAAAGUUAAUAGCAUGGCGGGGGUUUGUCCCGACCUUAGCUAAGUUCUAUGUAUCGUCUAGAGGCUUUGUAGACCAAUGUAAAGUUAAGCAUGGUAGUGUGUUAUCUUAUAGAUGUUAUGGCCCCAAUGGCCAAGUCUAUUAAGUAUAUAGUUUUAGGGCUUGUCGUUUAUAUUUUUUUUAUU